UUCACAUAUUUUCAAAUUGGGCCAAACGAAAUCGGUGGCCCAGUUACUCCUCACUCUGCUCCAGCCUAGAUCUCCAUCCCUACCCGGUCCAAAGUCCUCAUUAAGCAAAACGAUGCCGUUUUGUUCUAAUUAAUCCUAGCCCUUCAUCUCAUUCAAUCAGACGGUCGGGAGCUCACCUUCAUUUUACUAAUAACUAUCUGACAACCCCCCUUCCCCCCUACCCCCCCCCCCCCCAAAGACACAUCUCUCACACCCCAUUCCCCUCCGCCUCUCUCCGCCAUAGACCGCCUAUCGGAAAUCAUCUCCGCCGGCCGGAGUUAACCAAUCGACCCCAAACCGGCACCAAUAGAUUCCUCUACACCAUCCCACCAAGAUCAAAUACAAUUUUCAUCUUAUCACCAUCUUCAUCCAAACCGUAACCCACUUGGCCCCUUCCCACUUUUCUCGAUCAUUGAUGCUUGAUAUACCUCAAUACUUAUAUCAUUAGAUAGGUCUCAAUGACCAAGACCUCUAUGGAGUCAUUCCUUUUGGCAUCUCGUCUGGAGAUCAUUAGGUAAUUUCUUCUCCGUAUGCUCCUUAUUACUGAGAUGUUAGUUUAGGUGUAUAAGUUUCAUGAUUAUGUCUCUUAGUUUAGGUUUAAUUGCGAUAUUUAUUUGAAUAUUAAUUAUAUGAUUGUGCCAUUCAAUUUUGUUAAGUGAUACAUAUAAUUAGUUAAUUGGCUUUAAUCUAAUCAAUUCUGCCAUAUUGAACAUUAAUUAAUGAUUUGAUUUGGUAAGAAUCACGGAAUUGGGCCCCAAAAUUCAUGAGGUUUUGAUUGAAAGGCCCAGGCCUGCUUGGUUCAUUUCAUAUAAAAUGACAGUAAACAAAAAGGAAAAAAAAAGUAAAAGAAGCAGUUAAAAGGAAGGAUUGCUGGAAGGGGUAAACAAAGAAGUAGUAAAUAACAAAAGCCUGGGGGGGGGGGGGGGCUAAGGGAAAUAAAAUUUAAAGAAUAUUUUAGUUAACUAAUUAGGAAGCUCUCAGAAAUAAGGGAUAGGGGUGUGUUAGUAAAGGAACACUUCCAAUAGGUCAAGUAUUGAGGACUGAGGGGUGAUAAACAGAAAAUAGAGGGAUUAAAAAGAAAAAGAAAUAACUGAAAGCUGUUGAAAUUGGUUAUAAAAGGGAAUCUUCCUUCACACUUUGGUCACCUAUUCACUCUCACGUUUAGAAGCAGUCUGAAACUUGGGAUUCAGAUUUCAGACCUGAAGAACAAAAAACUCCAGAAAAUCAAAGCAAAAAAAUAAGGCUUCAAAAAGUGAUUCUAAGUUCUGUUGAUUUAGUUCAAUAUUUUCUAGGGUUUCAAGUUGAUAAUUAGAUUGGAAAUUGAGGAUGUUUGCUGGUUCUGUUGCUGUUUGCUGUUCAAAUUAUAGCUGAAUUUCUUCAUUUUUCUUCUUCAGGCCUUUAUUUGGUCAUUAAUUGUUGUUUCUGCUGCCGAAUAUGUCAAAACCCCAUUUGUAAUUCCCUUUGACUGUGCAAAUUAAGAUUUGGAUUGUUUGAUUCCAUGACUAUGUUUAAUUUCCGAAACUUUUUGUGCUUGUCUGCUAGAUCUGUUAUUUGUUCCUCUGUUAGCAUCAAUUCAUGUUUGUUUAGUGGUAAUUGGAUUGAAAUUGCUCACAUACUUGUUAGUUGUCGCUGAUAGUCCACUCAUCUUAAAGAAACAUGUAUUAGUCAUCAUAUUAGUACAUUAAAACAUACUGUUAGUCAAGCAUUUAUGAGUUCAUAAAUUUUUGAAUUGAAUUUGUUUACUGUUGACGUCUUUAACUCAUGAGGAUGAAGGUUGAAUUACGGAUUUCACGUUGAAAUCCAAAGUUUGUGGAGAAAUGAGUUAAUUAUGCGAAGCCUAUGUGUUGUAAUAUUGUUUGAUUCCAGAAAAUAGAAGGUGCUUGGUUCAAUAGAAGUGGCUGUUAGUAUGAGCUAGAAUUUCAAUUAUGUUUUCUUUAUGAUUUUUUAUCAGUGCUGUGAUAUUUAAACUUGGAUAAUCAUGUAUUAAUAUUUUUGUAAUUAACUUCGUGACUUCUGAUGUGUGCAAAUCCAACUGAAAGUCCAUGUUUAGUGUUCAAAAGUUAUUGGACUGACUAGUUGUCCCAAACGAGGCUAUUUAAUCAAUUUAGAGUAAAGUGAACAUUGGACACUACAUGUAUUCAGGCUCAAUUUUAAGCCCAUAUGGAAACCUGCCUUAUCGCAUGAGCAAUCACACCAUCGUAGAAGGGUUGGGAUGCCAUACGCUUCGUUCUGACUCAUAUCUGCUUCACAUUUUGACCUGUUUGACGUCUUCAUCUAGGGUUCUAAUUAGAUGACCCAAAGCUUUUAAUUAAUUAUUAAUCAAUAGAAUAUCUAACCAAUAUGAUUAACUCAUUAAUUGAUUUUCCUAAAAUAAAACACAACCGGUUGCUUCACCUUGCCCUCCUUAACAAACUAAAAUUGUUUCCCUUAAUUCAAACAUUGCGUGUUUCCUUCACGAAUUGCAACAAUCAAGUUUCAACCAGUGGUAGCACUUCAGUAGCAUAUGUACACCCAAACUUGUAUUUUAAUCUUUAUCGAUUAAUGCCAUAAGGUUAGAACCUUUCAUUUUAAUCCUCGAACUUAGGAAACCAAUUAACUCAUGAAUACUCGUAGAAUGCUUUAGGCGCGGUUUAAUUUAUUAUUGUGAUUAUGUAUAUGUUUGCGUGACAUAAUUGCGAUCCCAAAAUAAAUCGAGCUAUGCGUUUGCACGACUUUCGCCAAACAAUCUUAACAAUAAUAAAAUGUUAUUAAUUGUGUAUAAAUACGCGUGACUUGAUUUCUCACACAAAAAACAAAUAGAUUCACACACACAUGAUCCGUUUCAAAGAUAAUUUCAUAAUUUAAUAAUCAAGUAAUUAAAAGCGGUAAAGGGGUAAAAAUACACAUAGGUUUAAAAUAUGUAAUAAACAGAUAAUCAAUCCAAAUUAUGAUUGUAAAAUGACAGUGCUAAAACCAUAGAAUUCGAGAGUGACUAAUACAUUCUCCUGGGUUAACGAAAUUUCUUACUCGGUCUUAUGUGUUUCACAAACUUAAAUAGAGUCAAAAUUUUCUUGAUUUGAUAUUUAAAAUAACAGGUGACUUGGGACGGCGUAAAUAAUUAUUCCAAGUGGUGACUCUAAAAAUUAAAAUAAAAUAAUCUCAUUCCAAUAAUGUCACUUAAAUUGGAAACAGUCCUUUCCCCGUAAAAAAAGAGGUAUGAGAGAGAAAAGUUGAAAAGUUGAUGGUUUGGAAGGUUGAAAGGUUAGACCGAGAGUUGACUUUGUUGAUUUCGGGUUCGAAUUUCAGUUCUAGAAGUUUGAAUCGGAGUUGGUUUGGUAGGAUUCGCCAAUAGUUUUAGAAUUUAGAAAUUCAUUAGUUUCAUUAGGCUUGAAUUGGGGUGCGAUUCGUGAUUUAAAUGUUGUUUGAUGUGAUUUGAGGUUUCUAUUAAGUUCGGGUUGUGAUUUAGGACUUGUUGUUAUCUUUGGUUGAGGUCCCGAGGGCCUCGCAUGAGUUUUGGAUGAUUAACGGGUUUAUAUUUGGACUUAGAGCAUUGCGGAAUGGUUUUGGAUAGCUGGUGUAAUCGCACCUGCGGUGGACUUGGCCGUAGAUGUGACACCGUAGGUACGGCUAGAGGGACGCAGAAGCGGAAUUGGGCAAGGCUAGGGAUUUUUGCAGGUGCGUGCAGAGGUCCGCAGAAGCGGAUUUUGGCUUGAUGGGCUGGGGAUCACAGAUGCAGAAGACUUCCACAGGUGCGGACACGCAGAAGCGUGAUGUGGACCACAUAAGCUGACCCACAGAAGCAGAUUUUGGCCGCAUAAGUGGCUAGUUGGCGUUUAAGUGGACUUUGCAGAAGCGAGAAUUUUUCUGCAACAGCGGUAUCGCAUGUGCAAAAAUGGAUUCCACAAAUGCGGAAUCGCUGGCAGAAGAAUAAAAUCAAAGGGUUUAGUGUUUUGUUUCUCAUUUUUGGAAUUUUUGAGUUUGGACUAGGGAGAGUUUUGGAGAGUUUUCCACCUAGAUUAAAGAGGUAAGUGACUUUUUAUCACUUUUGUCCAUAAAUAUUGAAUACCCAUUGAUUAUUACGCCUAAUUUUCAUCAAUCUAAGUUAGAAUUUAGGAAUUUAUGGACUAUGUCAUUGGAGAGUGAAAUUUGAGGAUUUGAGGGUGAUGGUAGUCUAAAAAUGCGGAUUUUUGGCUACUUUGCACCCAUUAUUUGCUACACUUUAAUUGUGUGUAAGCUAAAAUAUAAAUAAUUUAUACUCAUAUACAUUUUCUGUUGUGUAGGUUGAGAUUGCGGGUUGAGCUUGGUUUUUGGAGCUAAAAUAAAUAAAAGAGAACUUUGAAGCCUGAG
rnacentral:lncRNA from 1 species